rnacentral:lncRNA from 1 species
GCUUAUUUUAUGAAUUUCUGUUCUUCUUUUAAUUUUACAACAAUUUUACUAUUUUUCCUUACAUGUUUAUAAGUCAUAUGGAGACUGCUUCUCAUCUACCCUGACCCCAGAAUAUUAAAACUUUUCAGAGUUUCAGGAUUAAUUCCAUUAUAUGGACAUGAUUCCUUGAGAUAGGAAAAACUGAUUGGAUUGUGACAUUAGACUUAUCAGAAUCUAAGAUCUUACAAAAUAUAAAGCUUUACUAGUAAUUUCAUGAACUCAGGUAAUCAUUAGGCAUGGGCAAAUCAGAGAAUUAUUUAGAUCUCUUAAUCUGAUUCUUUAGAUCCUUGGUUCUGUCAUUAGGUACUCCCUUGCCCAGGCAGAUAGAUGAGACUUCUAGAGAGGUAUGCCGACAAUUUAUUUACAUGGAGAUACCUGGCUCAAUUAUCAAAUAUCUAUUUUUAUGCAGAUAGUUACAUAUGUGGUAUAUGUGACAUUUUCCAGGGAGCCCCAUAAAUCCACAACCUUCUACUUUGUUAACCAUAAGCAAUUCUAAACGACCAAGUACAUUCUGCUAAAAGCAUUUCUGUGAUAGAUAAUCACUCUCCUGCUAGCAAAAAAACAAAUUGUUUGUCAGGAGCUGUCAUUAGUAUGUUUAUAUAAGCAAAAUGGGCUUCCUUCCUUCUGUGGAUCCUGGCAGGGCAUCUCAGUAAUCAGAAAGAAUCAAAGACCCUUUCCUUCCCAAUCUGCUCUGGCCUUGGUCAACAUCUUAGUGCCAAAUAUUGCUGGUGUAUUAUCAUUAUUGGCUUACACCAUUUUCUGCAGUGUUUCACUUAAGCCAACUAAUACUCUGACCUCGAUUUGAACCAUCCAACAGAGAGUAGGAAUUCCCUCCACAAAGCAUGUUACUCAUUAACAUCUUCCUUUACAAGUCUCUUGAUGUUCAUUCACAAACUCAAUUACCUUUUUCCUCCAUCAACCUCAAUUAUUUGCAUCAUUUUCCAUGGGCCUAUGGGAGUAUUUAAUUGAAUACGUAUUUUUUCUCCUCAAAUCAAAUUUUCUGAAAAAAAUUUGUUUCUAUGAACUGUAUUUUAGGUAUAUUCCAGGUUGGUACAAACACUAAUUUUCAGGGGUCAUUAUGUCAAAGAGCCCAUCCACACCCCAUGGCCUACAUAUGUCAAAGGAUUGUUCUUUAUUCAUCCACUUUCUAUGAAUUCCACACACGGGAGAUAAACUUCUUUUUCAUCCAUAUUAUCAGGGUUGUCAGGGAGCAACACUGAAGGUCACAGUGUUCAGUGAAACCUUGCCAUAACUUAGACUAAACACGUUUUUCCCAUAAUUUUACUUCUUCAAAUUCAUUCUUUCUUUCUUUUUCUCUUUCUUUCUUUCUUUCUUUCUUUC